CCUACGGGGCGCAGCAGUGAGGAAUAUUGGUCAAUGGACGAGAGUCUGAACCAGCCAAGUAGCGUGAAGGAUGACUGCCCUAUGGGUUGUAAACUUCUUUUAUAUGGGAAUAAAAUGUUCCCCGUGUGGGAUUUUGUAUGUACCAUAUGAAUAAGGAUCGGCUAACUCCGUGCCAGCAGCCGCGGUAAUACGGAGGAUCCGAGCGUUAUCCGGAUUUAUUGGGUUUAAAGGGAGCGUAGGUGGAUUGUUAAGUCAGUUGUGAAAGUUUGCGGCUCAACCGUAAAAUUGCAGUUGAAACUGGCAGUCUUGAGUACAGUAGAGGUGGGCGGAAUUCGUGGUGUAGCGGUGAAAUGCUUAGAUAUCACGAAGAACUCCGAUUGCGAAGGCAGUUCACUGGACUGCAACUGACACUGAGGCUCGAAAGUGUGGGUAUCAAACAGGAUUAGAUACCCGAGUAGUC
rnacentral:rRNA from 1 species